AGUCCACAUCGACGGGGCGGUUUGGCACCUCGAUGUCGGCUCAUCACAUCCUGGGGCUGUAGUAGGUCCCAAGGGUUGGGCUGUUCGCCCAUUAAAGUGGUACGCGAGCUGGGUUCAGAACGUCGUGAGACAGUUCGGUCCCUAUCCGUCGCAGGCGUAGGAAAUUUGAGAAGACCUGUCCUUAGUACGAGAGGACCGGGAUGGACGUACCUCUGGUGUACCAGUUGUCCUGCCAAGGGCAUGGCUGGGUAGCUAUGUACGGAAUGGAUAAGCGCUGAAAGCAUCUAAGCGCGAAGCCAACUUCAAGAUAAGAUUUCCCACCGCAAGGGUAAGACCCCAGAAAGACUAUCUGGUUGAUAGGUCGAAGGUGUAAGUGCAGCAAUGUAUUUAGCUUAUCGAUACUAAUAGGUCGAGGACUUGACCAAU
rnacentral:rRNA from 1 species